UUAUGUGACAUGUUUAUGAAGCUAAAAACUGCAGAAAUAAAACGUCCAUCUCAUAUUUUAUAGUUUGCCGAGAUACGUAGGGGGAGCUCCCUAGAGCAGCAGACGGAAAGUAUAGCUGUGCAGGUUACGACUAGUCGCUGAUCCACUUGGCACAGGAUAGAGAUGCCUGGAGAAUAUUGGUUGGAAGAAGAAUUACUGGUGGUUACGACCCUGCCUUGAGGAAUCGACAAAGAAGAUUCCUAAAAAGUUCUUUUUGUAUAUUACUAGUUGAAAAAAAAUAAUCAUACUACUACUACAUUAGCAUACUACUUAGGAACUGGAUUUGGUAUUUUAGUACAAGAAGUACAAGUAAUUAAUGAAUAUUGGUUGAUGGCAAAUCACGAGAAUACAUUAAAUAAUUAUGU